rnacentral:rRNA from 1 species
GAUGAACGCUAGCGGCAGGCCUAACACAUGCAAGUCGAGGGGUAGCAGGAUUAAGCUUGCUUAAUUGCUGACGACCGGCGCACGGGUGCGUAACGCGUAUGCAACCUACCUUAUACUGGGGUAUAGCCCGGAGAAAUUCGGAUUAAUCCCCCAUAGUACUAAUGAAUCGCAUGGUUUAUUAGUUAAAGCAUUGCGGUAUAAGAUGGGCAUGCGUCCUAUUAGCUAGAUGGUGAGGUAACGGCUCACCAUGGCUACGAUAGGUAGGGGGCAUGAGAGGGUGGUCCCCCACACUGGUACUUAGACACGGCCCAGACUCCUACGGGAGGCAGCAGUGAGGAAUAUUGGUCAAUGGGCGCAAGCCUGAACCAUCCAUGCCGCGUGCAGGAAGAAUGCCCUAUGGGUUGUAAACUGCUUUUAUUUGGGAAUAAACCUCUUUACGUGUAGAGAGCUGAAGGUACCAAAUGAAUAAGCACCGGCUAACUCCGUGCCAGCCGCCGCGGUAA